AGGAGAGAGAGAGAGAGAGAGAGAGAGAGAGAGAGAGAGAGAGAGAGAGAGAGAUGAUUCUGGUUAUUUUCAAAACCAAGAUUAUUUUAUCAAUUUACUGAUAGGAGAGAGAGACAAUAAUACUUGCUCACAUAUUCGUCAGUAACAACCGCACGUCUUGAUCUCAUUCGUCUUUUGUUAUUCGUUUAUUCAACGGCAUCCGUAUUGUUUAAUCUUUCUCGCGAAAGUUGCAAACGAUUGGGAGCUAAGCAACGCGAACGCGACGCGAAUAGUCGCAAAAAAGACAACAACGAUCGCGUCCCACACGGAAAAGUCGCUACGUGGCCCAUUUAUUUUUUCUUUUUUAGUCGCUGUGUGACGUGACGUCUCUAAGCUUUAUGACGUAAAGGCUUCAUUCCUGUCCAGCGAUUGGUCCGGUCACCGAGAGUGAUGACGUCAUGCAUCGGUCCUUAACUGUGAUUGGUCCGUUUCGGUAUCUCGGCCAGCAGAUGCCACAGAGCUCCGUCUGACGACGUAGCGGUCUCGGUGGUACCAGAGGACGAGAGAAAGAGCGAGCGAGAGAAAGAGAGAAUCUGUACUGUAGACGGAGAUCAGUUUAGAAGCAAGAACCGACAGUCGACAGAGCGAUGUCUCUCCGGUACAGCUCCAGAAGCGUCUCAGACGGCAUCAACCUUCUGAAGGGCCGCUACUGUUCGACGGGGAACCUGGAGGCAGACAAGCGACUGACGCCCUGCACCGUAGACCUAUACAUCCGCCCUAUCUUCGGGGAAGGUGGCGGGGCUGUGCCCAUCUGCCAAACACUGGCUGCUCCACUUCAAGUGGAGCCACGACGAGCUGACCUUCGAAGCCAACGACGUCGGCGGGCGUCUGGAGCCCAUGGCGUAUCCAGGAGCGCCGGAGCCUAUGGAACGGGGGACCUACGAGGUGAGGAGACUAGCUAGAGACCUCCGUGUCUACCCGCAGAGAGUUCUUGACCUGGCGAAAGAGAACAGGUAUAACGGACGAGGGUACAGCUUACUGGGUUGCAACUGCCAGCAUUGGGCACGAGAACUCGGGCGUCUCUUGGGCAUCAAGCUCCCUGACGACCAGGCCACUGAAGGGGCAGAUAUUGCAGCGACGACCACAAUUCUCGGUGGUUUAGUCUUGGUUUUGGAGCAUUGCUUGGAGCAGCGCUUUCGAAGGGAAAUAAGAAUUGAAACCUACAUCAGUUAACAGAUGAGAGAGAAACGUUCGAUGGACACCACCUACAGUGUCGACAUAAUAAUGGCGACUGGGUCUUGGGAAAAAAACGCAAUGAUAGUCGAAUACUAGUUAAUAUUUCCGUUUUUUGGUGGUGGAGAGGUGAGGGGCGCAUUGUGUGAGCUGUCGUGUGAAUUGCUGUCGCAUUUCGUAAUGGGACGAUCGGUGUAUUAGUGCAAUAAGGUCAUUCAUUUUCGUUUAAUGUAUAUGUAUAUAUACGUACAUAUACAUAAGAAAUUAUAUAGAUUUAUUAUUGAUAAAAAAAAAGUAUAUUGAAUUAUUCAACCCUUUGAAUAACUUGAUUCUUUCAAAAUAUAAUCAUGCAUAGUAAUUAUGCACACUAGUUAUCAUGCAUACUAAUAAUGCAUACUAGUUAUGCAUACUACUUAUGCCCCAUGUUUGUAUAUGCAUUUGUCUCUUUUGUCAGUCGUGACAGAAGAAGUUAUAUAAAUGUUCCUGUAUAAUGACAAAACACUUUUGACUAAAUAAACGAAAGAUAAAAAAAUGGA